rnacentral:sRNA from 1 species
CACACACACACACAACUGGACCUGUGCCCAGUGAUCCUCUGUUCGCCUCGUGUGAAUUCAGGGUUGAUUGCUGAGGCAGUUCGAUCACACCAAGGAGCCAUCAAAUUCCCAUGAUGUCAAUUUCCAAUCGACAGGUCCUAGAUCAAUCGGGGUUUGGGAAGCCUGGUUCGCGGUAAAACGCUUGAGCUUGGUGGAACACUCCCACUGAAGACGCCAUAUUCCACACCGUUCGCCGAGACCGUUGGUCUAUGGGGCUGGGGAAAACCAUGGCUUUCGCCUACAUUA